rnacentral:rRNA from 1 species
CAGCCGCCGCGGUAAUACGUAGGUCCCGAGCGUUGUCCGGAUUUAUUGGGCGUAAAGCGAGCGCAGGCGGUUAGAUAAGUCUGAAGUUAAAGGCCGUGACUUAACCAUAGUACGCUUUGGAAACUGUUUAACUUGAGUGCAAGAGGGGGGAGUGGAAUUCCAUGUGUAGCGGUGAAAUGCGUAGAUAUAUGGAGGAACACCGGUGGCGAAAGCGGCUCUCUGGUCUGUAACUGACGCUGAGGAGCGAAAGCGUGGGGAGCGAACAGGAUUAGAUACCCGCGUAGUCCCUGUCUAUUAUACA